rnacentral:piRNA from 1 species
UGACAUGGCCAUACUUUUUCUCCUGU